AUUUCGCGCGUAGGGCUGCGUUCAAUGCCAUAAAUUUGGAUCUUUAACUCUAAACGUGCAUCAGUCUAGUCAGCUGAUUGCACCGAUUGCACACAUACAUGAGCAUAAAACACAAAACAACUUUGUACAACAGAUGUUUGAUCAUUUCAACGACUUUUCAUUCGUGAGUAUUGGUGAUCUAAGCAGGCCUGAAAAAUUCACUUGGAUUCCUACGGCCAUUUUGUACGCAGCCUUUUAGAAAGCAGCUUCAUGUUGGAGCAUCGAAAAAAGGUUUACGACAAACGCAUGCAGGCGCAGGAUCAGGCUCGAGAAGUGAUGGUGGUGGAGACUUUGGCGAAGAAUUUCUCUCUGUCCAUCUGUUCCGGACGACUACGAGGAGCUAAUAAGCGGCAACAGUUUCCUCUAGGAUACGUUUCACCUCAAGCAUCAUGGAAAAAAACCGGAGAUUAUCGAACGGAAGCGACAAGGAGCUCGCAGCCAUCAGUCACUCCUCGCAAGUUGUGUGUUGGGAUUUUUUUUUUCAUUGUGAAUUGUGAAUGAAAAGUAAUAGAAAUAAGAACUGUGAACUAAUUGUGUAACAAAAAGAUGAUGAGUACAAUAAUUGAAUAAAACGAAAGCUUUUCAAAAACAA